rnacentral:rRNA from 1 species
UGGGGAAUAUUGGACAAUGGGGGCAACCCUGAUCCAGCAAUGCCGCGUGUGUGAAGAAGGCCUGCGGGUUGUAAAGCACUUUCGUUGGGGAGGAAGUAGUUAGUGGGAAUAUCACUGAUUAUUGACGUUACCCAAAUAAGAAGCACCGGCUAACUCCGUGCCAGCAGCCGCGGUAAUACGGAGGGUGCAAGCGUUAAUCGGAAUUACUGGGCGUAAAGGGCGCGUAGGUGGUUUUGUAAGUUGGCUGUGAAAUUCCUGGGCUUAACCUGGGGUGGUCAGCCAAUACUGUAAGACUAGAGUACGAGAGAGGGUAGUGGAAUUUCAGGUGUAGCGGUGAAAUGCGUAGAUAUCUGAAGGAACACCAGUGGCGAAGGCGACUACCUGGCUCGAUACUGACACUGAGGCGCGAAAGCGUGGGGAGCAAACAG